rnacentral:lncRNA from 12 species
CUGUAGGCUUCUGAGCAGGACACGGUUUACCCGGGAAGGUUUUAGAUGGUUAGCGUCCCUUUGGAACCCAGACUUGAGCUCGGGGCAAGUGCAACGCGGGUCUGCCCACCCAAGCCGUGUCUCGGUGUCCACGGGCUCCGCCGGCGGCUCGCGGCCUGUUCUUUCUCCUCUGGCACUUUCUGUUGUCCUGAGAAAACCUCUGGCCGGGCAGCUUCAGGCCCGGCUGAGCACAGUAUCAGUAGUCCCUGUUGGGGAUAUUUGCAUAUUUAGCUCUUGUUACAGGCUGAAUUGCAGCCCUUCCAAAUUCUGAGGUUGAAGACCUAACCCCUAGCACUUUAGAAUGUGACUGCAUUUGAAGAUGGAGCCUUUACAGGGUAAUUAGUUAAAAUGAGAUCACAGGGCAGGCCCUAAUCUAAUAUGAUGACCUCAUAAGAAGAGGAGACUACGACACAGACACGCACUGAGGGAAGACCAUGCAAAGACACAGGGAGAAGAGAGGCAACUACAAGCCAAGGAAAGCUGGCUCAGAAGAAACCAACGCUGUGGACACCUGGAUCUCAGACUUCUA